CGUGCAGGCGGAUUGGAGAGUUGGAUGUGAAAGCUCCCGGUUUAACUGGGAGAGGUCGUUCAAUACUUCCAGUCUUGAGUGCAGUAGAGGGAAGUGGAAUUCCGGGUGUAGUGGUGAAAUGCGUAGAUAUCCGGAGGAACACCAGUGGCGAAAGCGGCUUCCUGGACUGUAACUGACGCUCAGACGCGAAAGCUAGGGUAAGCAAACG
rnacentral:rRNA from 1 species